rnacentral:rRNA from 1 species
UACGUAGGGUGCAAGCGUUGUCCGGAAUUAUUGGGCGUAAAGAGCUCGUAGGCGGUCUGUCGCGUCGGCUGUGAAAUCCCGAGGCUCAACCUCGGGUCUGCAGUCGAUACGGGCAAACUGGAGUGUUGCAGGGGAGACUGGAAUUCCUGGUGUAGCGGUGAAAUGCGCAGAUAUCAGGAGGAACACCAGUUGGCGAAGGCG